CGCCUCCGCCGCUCCUCAAGCUCAAACACAAAUUAUGCACACGCCACCUUUUAUCCCUCUAUAUAAGCGGUUCCUCUGCUUCAUGAAUACCCAUUAACCUAACAUGGCACGGCUUUUUUCUCAAACCCUAAUAAGAGCCGCCGCCGCCCCCUUCUUCCCCACCCUCUCCUCACAUUUGUCCGCCACAGGUAAACCUAAACUCAUCCACCGCCAUCUGUUUAGCCUGGCGGAUAGCAACUCUUAUAUAGAGCUUUCGCAGGUGGAGGCGGAGGCCAGCGUAGUGAAGAAGAUAGAGGAGGCUAUACACACCAUCAUAAUCAAGAGAUCUAGACCCGACUGGUUACCGUUUGUGCCCGGAGCUUCCUACUGGGUCCCACCGCGUCGGCACUCAUACGGCGUUGCCGAAAUUGUCCACCAACUAUCCAACCCCCUCACGGAGGAGCAGCUUAAUUCGCUCAUCACCUUCCAGGGAUGGCCUUCGUCUGCUUUCUACCUUAGUCACGAUGGCUCUUCUCAUUUGGCUGAGGGGGGAGACAGUAUCCUCAUCAAAGAGGAAGGUUGAUAUGAUGUGUAUGAUUAGAAAAUAUGAAAUACAUGACUGACCAGCGAGAUGCCCGAGGUGGGUAUAAAAUUUGUAUUCAUGUCAUGUGUGCGCUAGAUUGCGUUUGGUGGUGUUAUUAUGUUAUGGACCAUUAUUAAAUGGUGGUAUGGGUGAUGUUUUGUGGUACGCAGUGUAGGAUGGACUAGACGACACUUCAUAUAAUUAAAGACGAGAAGAUGAUAAAAUCUAGACUCAGCGAUCUUACAGAGAUAAAAUUCCUUACUUUGAUGACCCGCUGUUACGUGUACAUUAAAUAACUGAGGAUGAGAUGUUCCAUCAGAUGGUGUUUCAUUGGCAAAUAUGUAUAUAAUCAACUUGGUUACUGCUGUAGAAAGUCAUCUUAGUACUGCAGUUGCUGGCCUCAGACCUCUUGUAUAUUUGAACAUACUUUCAACUAGAGUUUUGAAAAGGGUAAAGCGUGACUCUACGGCAAGGAGGCUUAGACGAGCCUUUUAGAACAAUGCUUUUAAUAGUAAAACAACAAUACGUACUAAAAAUAGUUGUCACAUUUUACCCAUUUUUGUUUUAUUUAUGUUCUUAUUUUAAUAUAGACUCUUUUUUGCUUUGGAUUUUGAGUUGUCUGGUUUAUAAUUUUUUGUAUCUCAUUUGUAUCUUUACUGAAGACAAGAAAAUAAUAUUUAGCGUAUAAAAUUCAAUAAUGAUUUAAUUGUGGAAUUUACUGCUGGAUUUGAACUUUC